AUUUUGAAGAUUCAUUAGCAUCAAAUCCCUCCAACCCUUAAAGCAAAUGAUGUAACACAGCCUUUAAAAUAUGGGGGAAAUAAUUCCUCAGCACAAAGGGGAACUGUAAAGAAAUACUCUAAAGAAAUCUCUGGAGAUUUAUCUGAGGAGAGCAUUGAGAAUUUUUUCCUCUUCCAUCACAACGUUUUACUUUCACCAAAAUCAGAUAUGGAGAUAUGGAGACAUGCUCAGCUGGAGAGCUGCAGGAAAAGAAAAAUGAGGAAUCAAGGUUUGACAAGAAAAGCUACUCCUCAAAGGCCUCACAGAAAAGAAGCACAGGAAGACUGUGCACAUGGACAUGUACUAUAUGAAAAAUUGAAACAGGGAUUCAGCAGGAACAUGUCUUUAGAACCUCCUAGCUUUGCUACUUCAAUGUUUAAGUAGCUUUUACUCCACUGAGAUGACACGCAACAGAAAGCAUAAAUAAAGCAGUCUGAUAACUUGAUGUCUAUGAAGUAUCAUCCUCUGCUCAGUACUUUACUGCUGGUCUGAUUUGCAAAGAUGCUGACAGUUUUGCAGUCUUCACAGAAAUCCACAGGAGCUGAAAGACACCGAGCAGGGAUAAAAAGCACCCUUGACUAGGUACCUCCAUCUAAUAGGGAAACCUAACUCAUUAUGGCUCUGUUUGAAAUUUCUGCUUUAAAUUUGCUUUCAAUCAUCUGCGAUGCUAAUUCUAGCUUUAGUACAAAUGAACAGACUCAGGGCUUUCUUACAGGCUUGAGACACACUGCAAAGCUCAUUUCCAGCAGCCGAGGAAGGGGUUAGGGCUCCUUGCAGUGUGGAUGUCAGGGUGUGGCAGUACAAACUCAGGCUAACAGAGCCGAUUCCAUUCAAACUUCAAGUAUUUGCCAUCCCCUGGAACAAGUGUUGUUUUGGACAUGUUGCACAAGAUGCUAGAAGAAAACUGGGAUUUCGCUGCCAUUCUCAAACAAAGAACAUAUUCAUUAGGAAAACCAUCUCCUCCGAAGCACUAACCCUGGGUUAUGUUUCCUACAGACAGCAAGGGUUUCAAAUCGUAUCAUGUGUUACUCAUUUACGUAUCACGUUAACUAGUGAAGACAGCAGAAGGCUAAUAUUACUUCCUA